rnacentral:rRNA from 1 species
AACCAACAGGGAUUGCCUCAGUAACGGCGAGUGAAGCGGCAUCAGCUCAAAUUUGAAAUCUGGCCCCGUCGGGGUCCGAGUUGUAAUUUGUAGAGAGUGUUUCGGGUGAGACCACGGUCUAAGUCUAUUGGAACAUGGCGUCAUAGAGGGUGAGAAUCCCGUAUGUGACCGUGGCUCGAGCUCAUGUGAAGCCUCUUCGACGAGUCGAGUUGUUUGGGAAUGCAGCUCAAAAUGGGUGGUAAAUUUCAUCUAAAGCUAAAUACUGGCUGGAGACCGAUAGCGCACAAGUAGAGUGAUCGAAAGAUGAAAAGCACUUUGGAAAGAGAGUCAAAAAGUACGUGAAAUUGUUGAAAGGGAAGCGCUUGCAACCAGACCUGUCCGUAGGUGAUCAGCCGCUGUUCUCAGCGGUGCACUCGCUCUGCGAUCAGGCCAGCAUCGGUUUCGGCGGUCGGAUAAAGGCCUUGGGAAUGUAGCUUCUUUCGGGGAGUCUUAUAGCCCUCGGUGCAAUGCGGCCAGCCGGGACCGAGGACCGCGCUUCGGCUAGGAUGCUGGCGUAAUGGUUGUAAGCGACCCGUCUUGAAACACGGACCAAGGAGUCUACCAUCUAUGCGAGUGUUUGGGUGUUAAACCCAUGCGCGGAAUGAAAGUGAACGGAGGUGAGAACCCUUUAGGGCGCAUCAUCGACCGAUCCAGAUGUCUUCGGAUGGAUUUGAGUAUGAGCAUAGCUGGUGGGACCCGAAAGAUGGUGAACUAUACUUGAAUAGGGUGAAGCCAGAGGAAACUCUGGUGGAGGCUCGCAGCGGUUCUGACGUGCAAAUCGAUCGUCAAAUUUGAGUAUAGGGG